rnacentral:lncRNA from 1 species
GUUUACUAUUUUGCGUGAGAUCCGCAAGGGAAUUUCUGUAUUCUUCGGUAACGUCCUCCAUUGUAUUCUCUGGAAAUGAACAAAUAAAUGUCUGUCACAAUAAAUGUUCUAACAAAUUCUUCAUUUUAACUUCUUCAUGUUCGUGUAUGUGUCUGUUUUACAAAUGGCGAUGGUCAGGUGACUACAACGUAAUCGAUUUGUUAAACUAAUUUUCAUUGGAUAAAAGGAGGAAGUUCUAAAAGCUAAUUGAGUCACGUGUUACAUUUAUUUACGC